CGAAACACGCUAUUGUACAGGUGAAUUCUAUUUUCAAAUUUUAAUAAAAUGUGUUUUAAUAUGUGUUUGUAUCGGGGGAAUCGAGCAGAUACAGGGAGAGAACAAAACAAUACAAAAGAAAAAAAAAAAGGUACCGACUAGUUAAACCCACAAAACUAAAGCUAGUGUAACAAAUCAAUAAACAGGAAUGCAACAGCCGACCUCUCUCUGCGGGACCCGGUGACUGCUCCGCGCAAAGACGGCAACUCUUGCAAAGGAAAGCUGCGCAAGAUUUAAACAACAACUGACCCACAAGCGUAAUCUGAGGACACAUUUCGAGCAAUGGGAGGAAGACGAGAGAUGAAUGCCGCCUUCUAGCAGAUUUGUCACUUUUGCAUGAAGAGCAUUUGUCAUCUGGGAGACAAGCAGCAGCUGGGAUGUCCGAUGCAAGAAGAAAUCGUCCUAAUGUAAAGAAGUCUUCAGGUUCAACUGAUUUGAAAAGUGGAGUAGAGUGGAUUAUCAAGAUAUUCAAGAACAAGACUACUUGACCCCGUACAACUGAGGAGAUUCUCAAGUGGAGACUACUGGUAUGUCACCAAGAUGGCGCCUUCUUUAUCUGUGAUUUUGGGACAACUAUCAUGGCAAGGCUGAUUUCAUUGACUCAAAAUGGAUUCUGUUGAUUAAACUGCAUUUUUACUUGCCAUGUUUUUAUAAGAUUAAUUUCAUAUUUGGAAGCUAUUUUAAAUCUACAAAAAAAUGCAAUGGCUAUUUAUGACUGUAUUUCAAAAGUGUGUAACUGAAUAUUUGAAUCAUUUUUCAUGGGGAGAUGUCAUGAACUCUGUAUACUUAAAGCAUACAAAUAUUUUGUUAGAUUGCUCUGAAGGAUACAAAAUAAAACAUCAUUAAUAUAAA